rnacentral:rRNA from 1 species
CGUAGCGAAAGUUACGCUAAUACCGCAUAUGCCCUGAGGGGGAAAGGAGGGGAUCGCAAGACCUUUCGCUUUCGGAGUGGCCGAUAUCAGAUUAGCUAGUUGGUGGGGUAAAGGCCCACCAAGGCGACGAUCUGUAGCGGGUCUGAGAGGAUGAUCCGCCACACUGGGACUGAGACACGGCCCAGACUCCUACGGGAGGCAGCAGUGGGGAAUUUUGGACAAUGGGCGCAAGCCUGAUCCAGCCAUGCCGCGUGAGUGAAGAAGGCCUUCGGGUUGUAAAGCUCUUUCGGACAGAAAGAAAUCGCACUUACCAAUACUAAGUGUGGAUGACGGUACUGUAAGA